AUUGAACGCUGGCGGCAGGCCUAACACAUGCAAGUCGAACGAGUGGCGGACGGGUACGUAAUUUCUGGGAAACUGCCUGAUGGAGGGGGAUAACUACUGGAAACGGUUGCUAAUAACGCAUACCAUCGGAUGUGCCCAGGUUGGAUGAGCUAGUAGGUGGGGUAAAGGCUCACCUAGGCGACGAUCCCUAGCUGGUCUGAGAGGAUGACCAACCACACUGGAACUGAGAUGCGGUCCAGACUCUUACGGGAGGAAGCAGUGGGGAUUAUUGCACAAUGGGCUGAAGGCUGAUGCGGCCAUGCCGGGUGUAUGAAGAAGGCCGUCGGGGUGUAAAGUACUGUCAGCGGGUAGGCGUUACCCGCAGAAGAAGCACCGGCUAACUCCGUGCCAGCAGCCGCGGUAAUUC
rnacentral:rRNA from 1 species